GUUACUAUGGCAAUACACAUACUAAAAUUAGAAUGGUACAAAGAUUAGUGUGACCCCUGUGCAAGGAUACCAUGCAAAUUUGGGAAGCACUCUAUAUUGAA
rnacentral:snRNA from 1 species